UACGAAGGGGGCUAGCGUUGCUCGGAAUCACUGGGCGUAAAGGGCGCGUAGGCGGCCGAUCAAGUCAGAGGUGAAAGCCCAGGGCUCAACCCUGGAAUUGCCUUUGAUACUGUUCGGCUAGAGACCGGAAGAGGUUAGUGGAACUGCGAGUGUAGAGGUGAAAUUCGUAGAUAUUCGCAAGAACACCAGUGGCGAAGGCGGCUAACUGGUCCGGUUCUGACGCUGAGGUGCGAAAGCGUGGGGAGCAAACAGG
rnacentral:rRNA from 1 species